rnacentral:rRNA from 1 species
GACGUAGGGUGCAAGCGUUGUCCGGAUUUAUUGGGCGUAAAGAGCUCGUAGGCGGCUUGUUGCGUCGACUGUGAAAACCCCGCGGCUUAACCGCGGGCUUGCAGUUGAUACGGGCAGGCUAGAGUUCGGUAGGGGAGACUGGAAUUCCUGGUGUAGCGGUGAAAUGCGCAGAUAUCAGGAGGAACACCAAUGGCGAAGGCAGCUCGCUGGGACGGUACUGACGCUGAGACGCGAAAGCGUGGGGAGCAAACAGG